GCAGACAGUCUGCAGAGAUCAGUGUGUGGAAACAAAAGGUGGAGGCUCACACAGAGUGAGGAAAGCGUCUAUCCUGUGGAGAGAAGCCGUGCUGUCAUUCAAAUCAGAAUGUUAACUCUCAUCUGGGUGAUUCUGCUCUUCGCUGACACAGGUUCUGGGACUCCUGAGUGUCCAAAGAACAACAGCAUAAUCACACAAAGUGGUAAAAAUGU